rnacentral:rRNA from 1 species
AGAAUCAACGCUGGCGGCGUGCCUAACACAUGCAAGUCGAACGAGAAAGUGGAGCAAUCCAUGAGUAAAGUGGCGCACGGGUGAGUAACACGUGACUAACCUACCCUUGAGUGGGGGAUAACCUAGGGAAACCUGGGCUAAUACCGCAUAAUACCUUCGGGUCAAAGGAGCAAUUCGCUUAAGGAGGGGGUCGCGGCCGAUUAGUUAGUUGGCGGGGUAAUGGCCCACCAAGACUGUGAUCGGUAUCCGGCCUGAGAGGGCGCACGGACACACUGGAACUGAAACACGGUCCAGACUCCUACGGGAGGCAGCAGUGGGGAAUUUUGCGCAAUGGGGGAAACCCUGACGCAGCAACGCCGCGUGGAGGAUGAAAGUCCCUUGGGACGUAAAACUCCUUUCGAUCGGGACAUUAUGACGGUACCGGAAGAAGAAGCCCCGGCUAACUUCGUGCCAAGCAGCCGC